GAUGAACGCUGGCGGCGUGCCUAAUACAUGCAAGUCGAGCGAAUGGAUUAAGAGCUUGCUCUUAUGAAGUUAGCGGCGGACGGGUGAGUAACACGUGGGUAACCUGCCCAUAAGACUGGGAUAACUCCGGGAAACCGGGGCUAAUACCGGAUAACAUUUUGAACCGCAUGGUUCGAAAUUGAAAGGCGGCUUCGGCUGUCACUUAUGGAUGGACCCGCGUCGCAUUAGCUAGUUGGUGAGGUAACGGCUCACCAAGGCAACGAUGCGUAGCCGACCGGAGAGGGUGGUCGGCCAGACUGGGGCGGAGACACGGCCCAGACUCCUACGGGAGGAAGCAGUAAGGAAUCUUCCGCAAUGGACGAAAGUCUGACGGAGCAACGCCGCGUGAGUGACGAAGGCUUUCGGGUCGUAGAACUCGGUUGUUAGGGAAGAACAAGUGCUAGUUGAAUAAGCUGGCACCUUGACGGUACCUAACCAGAAAGCCACGGCUAACUACGUGCCAGCCGCCGCAGUAA
rnacentral:rRNA from 1 species